UACGUAGGGUGCGAGCGUUGUCCGGAAUUAUUGGGCGUAAAGGGCUCGUAGGCGGUUUGUCGCGUCGGGAGUGAAAACGCCGUGCUUAACACGGCGCUUGCUUUCGAUACGGGCAGACUAGAGGUAUGCAGGGGGAGAACGGAAUUCCUGGUGUAGCGGUGAAAUGCGCAGAUAUCAGGAGGAACACCGAUGGCGAAGGCAGAUCUCUGGGCCGUAACUGACGCUGAGGAGCGAAAGCAUGGGGAGCGAAACAGG
rnacentral:rRNA from 1 species